UACAGAGGUCCCGAGCGUUGUUCGGAUUCACUGGGCGUAAAGGGUGCGUAGGUGGCUUGGUAAGUUUGAUGUGAAAGCUCAGGGCUCAACCCUGAAAUGGCAUUGAAUACUACUGAGCUGGAGGUUUGGAGGGGGGACUGGAAUUCUCGGUGUAGCAGUGAAAUGCGUAGAUAUCGAGAGGAACACCAGUGGCGAAGGCGAGUCCCUGGACAACACCUGACACUGAGGCACGGAAGCUAGGGGAGCAAACAGG
rnacentral:rRNA from 1 species